rnacentral:rRNA from 1 species
ACACUAACUGGAGGACCGAACCGACUAAUGUUGAAAAAUUAGCGGAUGACCUGUGGCUGGGGGUGAAAGGCCAAUCAAACCGGGAGAUAGCUGGUUCUCCCCGAAAGCUAUUUAGGUAGCGCCUCGUGAAUUCAUCUCCGGGGGUAGAGCACUGUUUCGGCUAGGGGGCCAUCCCGGCUUACCAACCCGAUGCAAACUGCGAAUACCGGAGAAUGUUAUCACGGGAGACACACGGCGGGUGCUAACGUCCGUCGUGAAGAGGGAAACAACCCAGACCGCCAGCUAAGGUCCCAAAGUCAUGGUUAAGUGGGAAACGAUGUGGGAAGGCCCAGACAGCCAGGAUGUUGGCUUAGAAGCAGCCAUCAUUUAAAGAAAGCGUAAUAGCUCACUGGUCGAGUCGGCCUGCGCGGAAGAUGUAACGGGGCUAAACCAUGCACCGAAGCUGCGGCAGCGACACUGUGUGUUGUUGGGUAGGGGAGCGUUCUGUAAGCCUGUGAAGGUGUGUCGUGAGGCAUGCUGGAGGUAUCAGAAGUGCGAAUGCUGACAUAAGUAACGAUAAAGCGGGUGAAAAGCCCGCUCGCCGGAAGACCAAGGGUUCCUGUCCAACGUUAAUCGGGGCAGGGUGAGUCGACCCCUAAGGCGAGGCCGAAAGGCGUAGUCGAUGGGAAACGGGUUAAUAUUCCCGUACUUGGUGUUACUGCGAAGGGGGGACGGAGAAGGCUAUGUUGGCCGGGCGACGGUUGUCCCGGUUUAAGCGUGUAGGUGUGUGUUCCAGGUAAAUCCGGUUCACUUUAACACUGAGGCGUGACGACGAGGCACUACGGUGCUGAAGCAACAAAUGCCCUGCUUCCAGGAAAAGCCUCUAAGCAUCAGGUAACAUCAAAUCGUACCCCAAACCGACACAGGUGGUCAGGUAGAGAAUACCAAGGCGCUUGAGAGAACUCGGGUGAAGGAACUAGGCAAAAUGGUGCCGUAACUUCGGGAGAAGGCACGCUGACACGUAGGUGAAGUGAUUUACUCAUGGAGCUGAAGUCAGUCGAAGAUACCAGCUGGCUGCAACUGUUUAUUAAAAACACAGCACUGUGCAAACACGAAAGUGGACGUAUACGGUGUGACGCCUGCCCGGUGCCGGAAGGUUAAUUGAUGGGGUCAGCGCAAGCGAAGCUCCUGAUCGAAGCCCCGGUAAACGGCGGCCGUAACUAUAACGGUCCUAAGGUAGCGAAAUUCCUUGUCGGGUAAGUUCCGACCUGCACGAAUGGCGUAAUGAUGGCCAGGCUGUCUCCACCCGAGACUCAGUGAAAUUGAACUCGCUGUGAAGAUGCAGUGUACCCGCGGCAAGACGGAAAGACCCCGUGAACCUUUACUAUAGCUUGACACUGAACAUUGAGCCUUGAUGUGUAGGAUAGGUGGGAGGCUUUGAAGUGUGGACGCCAGUCUGCAUGGAGCCGACCUUGAAAUACCACCCUUUAAUGUUUGAUGUUCUAACGUGGACCCGUUACCCGGGUUGCGGACAGUGUCUGGUGGGUAGUUUGACUGGGGCGGUCUCCUCCUAAAGAGUAACGGAGGAGCACGAAGGUUGGCUAAUCCUGGUCGGACAUCAGGAGGUUAGUGCAAUGGCAUAAGCCAGCUUGACUGCGAGCGUGACGGCGCGAGCAGGUGCGAAAGCAGGUCAUAGUGAUCCGGUGGUUCUGAAUGGAAGGGCCAUCGCUCAACGGAUAAAAGGUACUCCGGGGAUAACAGGCUGAUACCGCCCAAGAGUUCAUAUCGACGGCGGUGUUUGGCACCUCGAUGUCGGCUCAUCACAUCCUGGGGCUGAAGUAGGUCCCAAGGGUAUGGCUGUUCGCCAUUUAAAGUGGUACGCGAGCUGGGUUUAGAACGUCGUGAGACAGUUCGGUCCCUAUCUGCCGUGGGCGCUGGAGAACUGAGGGGGGCUGCUCCUAGUACGAGAGGACCGGAGUGGACGCAUCACUGGUGUUCGGGUUGUCAUGCCAAUGGCACUGCCCGGUAGCUAAAUGCGGAAGAGAUAAGUGCUGAAAGCAUCUAAGCACGAAACUUGCCCCGAGAUGAGUUCUCCCUGAGACUUAGAGUCUCCUGAAGGAACGUUGAAGACGACGACGUUGAUAGGCCGGGUGUGUAAGCGCAGCGAUGCGUUGAGCUAACCGGUACUAAUGAACCGUGAGGCUUAACCUUACAACGCCGAAG